ensembl:lincRNA
GUCGUUGUGGAAUGUGUCUAUCACUGAGAGCUGAAAGAAAACUGACCAAGACAAGUUCAAUGGCCAUGAAAUGAACCAUGAGCAAAUGUCCAGAGGUGGGAAGGCAUGGGGUGGAUUCCGGGCACUUGACGCUGCCCAGCUUGCUGAUGUGCAAAAGGUCCUGCUGGAGACUCACAGAAGAGUGUAGCAGGGAAGAGCUCUGGUCAGAUGGCAGGACGGGCCAGUGCAAUGAUUGUGAGGGCCCCAACAAUCAAGACCAGGAGGUGCUGCUGCUGUGUGGUGAGCACAUUGUCAGCCUGAACGGGGAGCGGGACAGAGGUGUAUGGGGGUACAGGGUGGAUGAGUGUCCCUCCCUGCAGCAGGGCUCUGUUUGUCCUGCCAUUGAACAACUCGGGUUUCAUGCAGACUCUCAUGCACCUGCCGUCGGAAGAUUUGAACUUUCUUCUUGGAAACCUAAUACCCACAGUCCUCCAGUAAAUCCCAAGUAAGGUACCUGCCGUCGGCAGAUUUGAGAUUUCUUCUUGGACACCUAACACCCACAGUCCUCCAGGUGGGUCCUAAGGAUGUUAAGAUCCGGGAAGGGGGUCCUAACACAGGGGGGGGAAGAGGGGCUGGCUCUCAGUCCCCGCCUCGCAGGGGGUGCCUCCCCCGCCCUGUGAUGGGGGUCCUAAGAGCCAGAGGCGGAAGAGGGGCUGGCUCUCAGUCCCUAACAUAGCGGGGGGGGGGUGCCUCCUCCUCCUGUGAUGGGGGUCCUAAGUGCCAGGGGGGAAAGGCGGGCUUGGUCUCAGUUCCCGCCCAUCGGGUGGUGCCUCCCCACCCUUCGAUGGGGAUCCGAAGAGCCAGGGGGGAAGAGGGGCUGGCUCUCAGUCCCCGCCUCGUGGAGGGUGCCUCACCCCGCUGCGAUGGGGGUCCUAAGAGGCAGGGGGGGAAGAGUGGCUGGCUCUCAGCCACCACAAAAUGGGCGGCCUUAAUGUUCAGGUGUGGCCCAAGAAUCAGCUUAUUUGCUUCUUGUACUAGUAGGGCAGUUGCUGCCAUGGCCCUCAAACAGGGGGGCCAUCCUUUAGAAACUCUGUCUAGUUGUUUAGAGACAUAGGCCACCGGCCUCAGCCAGGGCCCCACAGUUUGGGUUAAAAGUCCAACUGCCACCUUUUCUCUCUCUGACGCAUUCAGUGGCAAAGACUUUGUCAGAUCCGGUAGCCCCAGGGCUGGGGCUGCCAGAAGUUUAUCUUUAAACUCAUGACAGACUUCCUGUUGUUGGGAUCCCCAUUUCAAAAGUUCCAGGUCCCCGCCCCCUUUGUGACCUCAUACAAAGGCUUGGCUAAUACUGCAAAGUUUGGGAUCCACAGUCUACAAAACCCCACAGCUCCUAAGAAUUCUCUCACCUGCCUUCUGCCCUUAAGCUCCAGUAGAUUGCAAAUAACCUGCUUUCUUUCUGUUCCAGAGCAGCGUUCGGACCCGUUGGAUCGUGAAUCCCACGUAAGGUACCUGCCCUCAGAAGAUUUGAACUUUCUACUUGGACACCUAACACCCACAGUCCUCCAGGUGGGUCCUAAGGAUCUUAGGAUCAACGAUGGGGGUCCUAAGCCAGGGGGGGAAGAGGGUCUGGUUCUCAGUCCCCGCAGAGAGAGAUAAA